CGAGGAUGAACGCUGGCGGCGUGCUAACACAUGCAAGUCGAGCGAAGCACUCUGUUUGAUUUUUCGGAAUGAAACAGUUUGACUGAGCGGCGGACGGGUGAGUAACGCGUGGGGAACCUGCCUUACACAGGGGGAUAACAGUUAGAAAUGGCUGCUAAUACCGCAUAACCCGCUGGGGUCGCAUGACUCUGACGGAAAAGAUUGUAUCGGUGUAAGAUGGACCCGCGUCUGAUUAGCUGGUUGGUGAGGUAACGGCUCACCAAGGCGACGAUCAGUAGCCGACCUGAGAGGGUGAUCGGCCACAUUGGGACUGAGACACGGCCCAAACUCCUACGGGAGGCAGCAGUGGGGAAUAUUGCACAAUGGGGGAAGCCCUGAUGCAGCAACGCCGCGUGAGUGAAGAAGUAUUUCGGUAUGUAAAGCUCUAUCAGCAGGGAAGAAAUUGACAGUACCUGACUAAGAAGCCCCGGCUAACUACGUG
rnacentral:rRNA from 1 species